UUUCAACACAGAAUGAAGCAGUGUUAGCCUGCUACGUGGAGUAGAAUGGGCUGUCGGUGGCCAGUAGAAUCCUGACAACCAUGCUAGAAAGUAAGAACAACAGAAUCCAGGGGUCCGUGCUCCAAAGGAAUAUAUCAUAACCAUCUACCUUGAAAAAAGAUGCAGUCCCUCUUUAAGGAAAGCAGUCUGGAUCCUGGAAUGAGGCUCUCGCACCUCCAUAUACUUCCCACUCCCAUCUUAAGACAGUUACUUAAGAAAUUAAACCACUCCAUCCCGUCUCCCGGGGUCCUGAGUCUGAUCACUUCCUCCUCCCUCCUGGGAACCCUGUUGAGAGAAACCUCAUCAAAUCUGCCACAUCUGUUGUUGAUUCCUAGCUAAGGAUCUAAACAAACAAAAAAAAUCAAUGCUCUGUGGCCAAAGGGAAGCAGUUUGCUGUUUUCUUUGUUAAUGCCAUGUCAGGAGAUGUCAUCAGGAAGCGAGGCUGGUUCAGAUCAUAUCCAUUUACGAUUGGCAGGUGAGACUGGCAGGAUGGUCCCACGUGGAAGGAACUGUGGGUGGUGGACAGUAGACAUCCUGAGCUUUGUCCUAUCCUCCUAACAGGAGAACCCGCCCUCCCCACUACAUGGUGGCAUUGAUCGCAAGUGUCAGUCAACAUGCUAUGCCAGACGCACUUCCAUCUGGAAUCUACAUAUUCUGUUCAGAACUCUACUGUGUGUCUAUACCACCCACCCCAUUGUUGUUUGAACUUUCUGGAAAAAAAAUAAGAAGCGCUGGAAUCCUAUGGAGAACUGCAGUCAAGAAGUCGGGCAUUUGCUUGUCAUGAGGGGAUUCCUUAAGAAGCAGCAGAUGGUCCUCCAAGAAGGAAACGAAGCUGUCUUGUGUACCAUACCAGAAAAGCAGAUCACCGGUUCCCACAAUUUUGCAGUCCAUCUCUGCUUGUGACCUUAUCACUGGGUAGUUGGAGACACUGCAGCAGAUAGAUAUUAUUGGAUGUUCUGAUAAUAGCUGCUGGGAAGAUAGUUACCAGGACCCGCUCAUCGGGUGCAGCUCUCAAGGGCAUUCUACAUAUGGUCAAAGUCCAUGCGGUCUCCACAGAUGUAACCUCUCCAGCCAAGCGCCUCAAACCCACGGACUGUUCAAGCAUAUGGCGCCUCUGCUGCAUGUGGUAGGACUUAUGCUUUUCCCCUUGUUAGCAUGCUACUUCUACUGCAGUCAGUGACAUGCCAAGAGUCCCAGCUUGCUUGCUUGACCUUUAUGUCCCCAUGUUUUGUGGGCCCCUGGAGUUGUUUAAUGUUUCCUGUAUUCCCUGCCAAUGACUGGAACAAUGCUGUUGCUGGCCAUACCAGCCGUUUGAUGAGCUGGCUACUCCUCUUUGCCUGUUCAGUAUACAAAUCCUACUGAGUGGAGCUGCAGUUUGGUAUGCUGGUGAUGGCCACCACUGACAACCCUUUUUUUUUCUGUUAAGUUAACCCCACCCCCAGCUCCAGGUUCAAGAGCUAAACUCUUUCCACUCUACCUCUUCUAGAUGACUACACAACACGGAUAAGACCGAACUAGACUUUCGUACUGAAACUCAGAGUCAGGCACUGGCACUGACUCCAUUCAUACUCCUAAACUGACUAAUGCUGAAACCAUUAAACAAAACUAUUUAGCAACUGAGAAUUUUCUUCUGACCUGGCUUUAUUUUGCAUUCAAAUUGAUAUUCAAAUGCAAA